GCCACAGAUCAAGGCUUAGAAUUAAUUUCUGCUUUAAACUUGCAAAACUCACUAGGAUCUGUUGCACCCCGACAGAGGAAAGCACAGGAUUUUUCUCAACAGAUAUAGUCAGCUUUUAUAGGUCUUGCAGCUGCUGUGAAUUAUAUCUAAGUGCAGAAGGUUUGUAAAAACUCAUUCAACUCAAGAGGACCUACGGAACCUUUCUCUAGGCCACAGGGUGUGUUCUUGGUGGUGCUUAGCCGCAGGGCAUUAAUAGAAGUGGACAUUCCCCCGGAUUCAGCUGAAGUGCUCACUGCCUAUGACUCGGACCCCUGGAUUCAGCAACUCUCAAUCAGUAAUAUAACUGGCCAAGCACCCUGUGUCUGGUGGGAGGGGCAGCACAUAGAAUAUAAUGGCUGUGAUGACCACAAUCACGGACCCCAGGGCGUCUCCCAUCACAUGCAAAAGAACACCUGACAAGAAGAAAGAGAAACCAAUGAAACAGAUGGAAGUUUGGCAGCCCGAGCUGUGUCACCCUUGAAUUUUCAAAUAUAUGAAUAUCCAUUGCUA